rnacentral:rRNA from 1 species
UACGAAGGGGGGCUAGCGUUGCUCGGAAUCACUGGGCGUAAAGGGUGCGUAGGCGGGUCUUUUAAGUCAGGGGUGAAAUCCUGGAGCUCAACUCCAGAACUGCCUUUGAUACUGAAGAUCUUGAGUUCGGGAGAGGUGAGUGGAACUGCGAGUGUAGAGGUGAAAUUCGUAGAUAUUCGCAAGAACACCAGUGGCGAAAGCGGCUUCCUGGUCCAGCACCGACGUCAGGCACGAAAGCGUGGGGAGCAAACAGGG